GCGCGUGUAGCUCAGUUGGAAGAGCGCCGGGGUCCGCCCCGGAGGACGGGGGUUCAGCUCCUCUCACGUGCGCCA
rnacentral:tRNA from 1 species